UACGUAGGGUGCGAGCGUUAAUCGGAUUUACUGGGCGUAAAGCGUGCGCAGGCGGUUUUGUAAGCCAGAUGUGAAAUCCCCGGGCUUAACCUGGGAAUGGCAUUUGGGACUGCAAGGCUGGAGUGCGGCAGAGGAGACUGGAAUUCCUGGUGUAGCAGUGAAAUGCGUAGAUAUCAGGAGGAACACCGGUGGUGUAGACGGCUAUCUGGACCGUAACUGACGCUGAGGCACGAAAGCGUGGGUAGCAAACAGG
rnacentral:rRNA from 1 species